rnacentral:rRNA from 1 species
GAUGAACGCUAGCGACAGGCCUAACACAUGCAAGUCGAGGGAAAGGGUAGCAAUACCUAAAACCGGCGCACGGGUGAGUAACGCGUAUGUAACCUGCCUACAACAGGGGGAUAGCUUUCGGAAACGGAAAUUAAUACCGCAUAAGACCACGCUCUCGCAUGGGAGCGUAGUAAAAUUUACGGAGGUUGUAGAUGGGCAUGCGUGACAUUAGCUAGUUGGUAAGGUAACGGCUUACCAAGGCAACGAUGUCUAGGGGUUCUGAGAGGAAGGUCCCCCACACUGGUACUGAGACACGGACCAGACUCCUACGGGUGGCAG